rnacentral:precursor_RNA from 8 species
CCUUGGAGAGGAGGAUUUCAGAUGAAGGGAUGCAGCCAGCAGUGGGACCUAAGGUUCUAGAAUGGCCUAGAUCCCCAUCUGGCUCUGUUCUUUCAUUGGUUGGUAACUUUCAACAGCCC